rnacentral:rRNA from 1 species
UACGAAGGCCCCAAGCGUUAUCCGGAAUUACUGGGCGUAAAGCGCCCGCAGGCGGUUUGGAAAGUUGUAUGUGAAACUAAUGGGCUCAACCCAUUAUCGUAUACAAAACUACCUGACUAGAGUAUGGGAGAGGUAAGCGGAAUGGUAUGAGUAGGAGUGCAAUCCGUUGAUACAUACCGGAACACCAAAAGCGAAGGCAGCUUACUGGAACAUUACUGACGCUCAUGGACGAAAGCGUGGGGAGCAAAAGGG